rnacentral:rRNA from 1 species
UACGGAGGGUGCAAACGUUGCUCGGAAUCAUUGGGCGUAAAGCGCACGUAGGCGGACCGCUAAGUCGGAUGUGAAAGCCCUCGGCUUAACCGAGGAAGUGCAUUCGAAACUGACAGUCUUGAGUAUGGAAGAGGGUCGCGGAAUUCCCGGUGUAGAGGUGAAAUUCGUAGAUAUCGGGAGGAACACCAGUGGCGAAGGCGGCGACCUGGGCCAAUACUGACGCUGAGGUGCGAAAGCGUGGGGAUCAAACAGG